UCGCCGCCGACGGCGCAUGCGCUCGCCUGGGUACGCUUUUGCGUCUCCACAGCUUUCCGGGACCUUGCGGCGUCCUCGGCCCGGCUCUGUGCUUCCGGUGCGAAGGUCACGGACAAGAUGGUGCCCCCGGUUCAGGUCUCUCCGCUCAUCAAGCUCGGCCGCUACUCCGCCCUGUUUCUCGGCGUUGCCUACGGAGCCAAGCGCUACAGUUACCUGAAACCUCGGGCAGAAGAGGAAAGGCGGAUAGCAGCUGAGGAGAAGAAGAAGCAGGAUGAGCUGAAGCGGAUCGAGAGAGAAUUGGCAGAAGCCCAAGAGGACACCAUCCUGAAGUGAGCCCGCCUGGCUCCCUGGAGCAGUGUGGAUGAAUAAAGCUUUUUGUGGGGUGA